UAUUUUACAUUUGCACAAUAC
rnacentral:piRNA from 1 species